rnacentral:rRNA from 1 species
UCUUGGUCAUUUAAGAGGAAGUAAAAGUCGUAACAAGGUUUCCGUAGGUGAACCUGCGGAAGGAUCAUUAUCGUAUAACAGAGGCACUACUAGGCUGUCGCUGACCUACUACCACUAGGUCGUGCACGUCUCUUAGUGUUCUCAUUUACACAUCCAUCUCACCCUUUGUGCAUUGUCGCGUGGGCCUUCUUUUGAUUUAAAGAAAGGUGGUCUACGUUUUCACACAAACCUAAGUAAUAGUCGAAUGUCUUUAUGUUUUGCUUCACGCAAUUAAUACAACUUUCAACAACGGAUCUCUUGGCUCUCGCAUCGAUGAAGAACGCAGCGAAAUGCGAUACGUAAUGUGAAUAGCAGAAUUCAGUGAAUCAUCGAAUCUUUGAACGCACCUUGCACCCCUUGGCAUUCCGAGGGGUACACCCGUUUGAGUGUCGUGAAAUUCUCAACCCUUCCUUUUUCUUAGGAUGGCUUGGACUUUGGAGGGUUUUGCUGGCCUUUUUAAAAAGCCUGCUCCUCUUAAAUAAAUUAGUAGGGUCCUUUUAGCUGGCCUUCUUGACGUGAUAAGAUUUCUACGUCUGAGGCUCGGCUCUUAAGACCUGCUUCUAAUCAUCUCUUAGAGAUGUGAUUAUUUGAACCUUUGACCUCAAAUCGGGUGAGACUACCCGCUGAACUUAAGCAUAUCA